UUGUCGCGAUUUACGAGCGUUUUAUAACUUGUUUACAUUAGGCAAGUGAGUAACGGUAACCCUGGGAAGCGUUUUAUGCAAAAAUCUAUUAAAACGCUGGCGAGCUGCAUAAAAAUCACAAUAAAUGCACAACGUUUGCGACUUAAACGGUCCAUAACCCGGUCACCACGGGGGUUAGGGCCUCUCGUCUUGACUUUGCCACACACACACACACCCUCCACGCUCAUUCACAUUCAACACAUUUGACACAUUUCUGCGCCUCAAAUUGAGUUUGAAGUUGACGCAAGCGUUGCAAAUGGGCCGUGAAAAGCGUUAAACUAACAUUUCACAUCAAGACUUUUUUGGGCCCAGACAGCUUGCGAUCUGCCAACUGAGAAAAUGUCAUCUGCAAUAUCGGCUCAAAUUAUAUCGGUUGUAUAUCUCAUGCUUAUCGAUCAGCCAGCAACUCAGGCUUAUAAGUUGGGUCGCCUGGAGUUCGUAAUGGAGCACAUGGCAAGAAAUUUGGAAAGCCCGCGGCAUAACAUAAGCGUGGCGGAAAGCGAGCUCAUAUUAAAAGAAUUUGCAAAAUUUGGUGAAGCUGUAAGCAACGAGGCCAACGAGAACAACAACAACCGUGAGAUACAUGUAGCUAAUGGACAGACCUAUUCCAUGUACUUUGAUUUCACACGGAAAAGGAAAAACAGGACGUACAAAAGCUCGUAUCAAUUCAACAAUGUCAAAACACCAAAAUAAGCAAUAAAAUGAUGAAAAAGUAAAAACAUAA